ACAUGCAAAUCUGCUCCUGCUCUGGAUCCCUGAAGGAGGGGCCUCAGGUGAGGCCUGAUUGAGCCUGUGGCCUCCUGGGGCAGAGGGGGCAGGGCCUAUUUCUGGUAGGGAGGGUCAUCAUGGCCCUGAGCUCAUUUCCUACUCUGAGAUUCUGGGAUUCUGGGAGUCAGGCUCAUUCCUCCCCAGGCUCUGUGUCUGAUGCUCCAGGACCCUGUCAAUGUCACUGAACUGCUUUCUCCUCCUGGACCUUCCCUGUGCACUGCGGCCUUCUCCCCAUGGGCCAUCCCUCCACCAUGCUGCCCCCUCCUCCCUUGGGAAGGAUUGAGAUGUCUGUUGAUGGAGAAGGAACUCCCCAAGGAGGUCAUCACAGAUCUUGGACGCAAGUGUGGAUUUUGGACUACUUUGGUAUUUGUUUGAGAAGGAAAAAAGAGAGAAAAAAAUGACCAGCUUUCCCUCCUCUGUGACUUCAGAGCUGAUCCUCCCUUCCAGACUAACUAUAUGGAGAACACAAAUCCAUGUAACACAGACAUCCUGAGUCAGGAUUUAAAUGUCCUCCCACAGUUCCUUGAUUCAGUCAGAGUUAAAGCUCUGGCUUCAUGUACAUGUCACUAACUUAAAAGAAUAAACAACAUGAAUUUACUCAUCA